AGGGAAUCUUCCACAAUGGACGCAAGUCUGAUGGAGCAACGCCGCGUGAGUGAAGAAGGUCUUCGGAUCGUAAAGCUCUGUUGUUGGUGAAGAAGGAUAGAGGCAGUAACUGGUCUUUAUUUGACGGUAAUCAACCAGAAAGUCACGGCUAACUACGUGCCAGCAGCCGCGGUAAUACGUAGGUGGCAAGCGUUGUCCGGAUUUAUUGGGCGUAAAGCGAGCGCAGGCGGAAUGAUAAGUCUGAUGUGAAAGCCCACGGCUCAACCGUGGAACUGCAUCGGAAACUGUCAUUCUUGAGUGCAGAAGAGGAGAGUGGAACUCCAUGUGUAGCGGUGGAAUGCGUAGAUAUAUGGAAGAACACCAGUGGCGAAGGCGGCUCUCUGGUCUGCAACUGACGCUGAGGCUCGAAAGCAUGGGUAGCGAACAGGAUUAGAUACCCUGGUAGUCCAUGCCGUAAACGAUGAGCGCUAGGUGUUGGGGACUUUCCGGUUCUCAGUGCCGCAGCAAACGCGUUAAGCGCUCCGCCUGGGGAGUACGACCGCAA
rnacentral:rRNA from 1 species